rnacentral:rRNA from 1 species
GAUGAACGCUGGCGGCGUGCCUAACACAUGCAAGUCGAGCGUGAACCGUCUGAAUGAAACUUCGGUCGAGUGAGGAUGGGGAAAGCGGCGGACGGGUGAGUAACGCGUAGGCAACCUGCCCCGUACAGAGGGAUAGCCUCGGGAAACCGGGAUUAAGACCUCAUAAUACCAUUAUCUCACAUGUGAUAAUGGUCAAAGAUUUUAUCGGUAUGGGAUGGGCCUGCGUCUGAUUAGCUGGUUGGUGGGGUAACGGGCUCACCAAGGCGACGAUCAGUAGCCGACCUGAGAGGGUAAUCGGCCACAUUGGAACUGAGACACGGUCCAAACUCCUACGGGAGGCAGCAGUGGGGAAUAUUGCACAAUGGGCGAAAGCCUGAUGCAGCAACGCCGCGUGAGCGAGGAAGGCCUUUGGGUCGUAAAGCUCUGUCGAGGAGGAAGAUAAUGACGGUACUCCUCGAGGAAGCCCCGGCUAACUACGUGCCAGCAGCCGCGGUAAA